rnacentral:rRNA from 1 species
GACGAACGCUGGCGGCGUGCUUAACACAUGCAAGUCGAACGGAAAGGCCCUGCUUUUGUGGGGUGCUCGAGUGGCGAACGGGUGAGUAACACGUGAGUAACCUGCCCUUGACUUUGGGAUAACUUCAGGAAACUGGGGCUAAUACCGGAUAGGAGCUCCUGCUGCAUGGUGGGGGUUGGAAAGUUUCGGCGGUUGGGGAUGGACUCGCGGCUUAUCAGCUUGUUGGUGGGGUAGUGGCUUACCAAGGCUUUGACGGGUAGCCGGCCUGAGAGGGUGACCGGCCACAUUGGGACUGAGAUACGGCCCAUACUCCUACGGGAGGCAGCAGUGGGGAAUAUUGCACAAUGGGCGGAAGCCUGAUGCAACAACGCCGCGUGCGGGAUGACGGCCUUCUGGUUGUAAACCGCUUUCGCCUGUGACGAAGCGUGAGUGACGGUAAUGGGUAAAGAAGCACCGGCUAACUACGUGCCAGCAGCCGCGGUGAUACUUAGGGUGCGAGCGUUGUCCGGAUUUAUUGGGCGUAAAGGGCUCGUAGGUGGUUGAUCGCGUCGGAAGUGUAAUCUUGGGGCUUAACCCUGAGCGUGCUUUCGAUACGGGUUGACUUGAGGAAGGUAGGGGAGAAUGGAAUUCCUGGUGGAGCGGUGGAAUGCGCAGAUAUCAGGAGGAACACCAGUGGCGAAGGCGGUUCUCUGGGCCUUUCCUGACGCUGAGGAGCGAAAGCGUGGGGAGCGAACAGGCUUAGAUACCCUGGUAGUCCACGCUGUAAACGGUGGGUACUAGGUGUGGGGUCCAUUCCACGGGUUCCGUGCCGUAGCUAACGCUUUAAGUACCCCGCCUGGGGAGUACGGCCGCAAGGCUAAAACUCAAAGGAAUUGACGGGGCCCCGCACAAGCGGCGGAGCAUGCGGAUUAAUUCGAUGCAACGCGUAGAACCUUACCUGGGUUUGACAUGGAUCGGGAGUGCUCAGAGAUGGGUGUGCCUCUUUUGGGGUCGGUUCACAGGUGGUGCAUGCCUGUCGUCAGCUCGUGUCGUGAGAUGUUGGGUUAAGUCCCGCAACGAGCGCAACCCUUGUUCACUGUUGCCAGCACGUUAUGGUGGGGACUCAGUGGAGACCGCCGGGGUCAACUCGGAGGAAGGUGGGGAUGACGUCAAGUCCUCAUGCCCCUUAUGUCCAGGGCUUCACGCAUGCUACAAUGGCUGGUACAGAGAGUGGCGAGCCUGUGAGGGUGAGCGAAUCUCGGAAAGCCGGUCUCAGUUCGGAUUGGGGUCUGCAACUCGACCUCAUGAAGUCGGAGUCGCUAGUAAUCGCAGAUCAGCAACGCUGCGGUGAAUACGUUCCCGGG